rnacentral:rRNA from 1 species
GACGAACGCUGGCGGCGUGCUUAACACAUGCAAGUCGAACGGUGAAGCACCUUCCUUUUGGUGGGUGUGGAUGAGUGGCGAACGGGUGAGUAACACGUGAGUAACCUGCCCCCUUCUUCUGGAUAACCGCAUGAAAGUGUGGCUAAUACGGGAUAUUCUGGGUCUGUCGCAUGGCUGGCCUGGGAAAGAUAUUGUUUCGGUGGGGGAUGGGCUCGCGGUCUAUCAGCUUGUUGGUGGGGUGAUGGCCUACCAAGGCGGUGACGGGUAGCCGGCCUGAGAGGGUGGACGGUCACACUGGGACUGAGACACGGCCCAGACUCCUACGGGAGGCAGCAGUGGGGAAUAUUGCACAAUGGGCGCAAGCCUGAUGCAGCGACGCCGCGUGAGGGAUGGAGGCCUUCGGGUUGUAAACCUCUUUCGCCAGUGAAGCAGGCCUGUCCCUUUUGUGGGUGGGUUGACGGUAGCUGGAUAAGAAGCGCCGGCUAACUACGUG